rnacentral:lncRNA from 1 species
GAAACGCAUAUCUCCUUCCACUUCGUCGCAGUUUCCCCCUACGCCGGGCUGGCCCUCUGUCCAAACCCCAAAUCUGCCAGGUAUAUAUAUGGUAAUGACUUUUAGUACAGCCGGCUGUCCGAUAAACGAUUGCUACAGCGCUUAUCACUUAUAUUCAAUCAAUAAUUAACUACUGCGAUAGUUUUUCCGAGCGAGAGGAUUUUGCAUGUGUAACUGACAGGUCAUUAGCCCUUUCACCCCACCUGACCACAUGCAAUCAAUUUUUUUCAAAUUUGAAAAGUUAUAAUUCUU